rnacentral:rRNA from 1 species
GUAACGGAGGCGCCCAAAGGUUCCCUCAGCCUGGUUGGUAAUCAGGUUUCGAGUGUAAGUGCACAAGGGAGCUUGACUGUGAGACAGACAUGUCGAGCAGAGACGAAAGUCGGGACUAGUGACCCGACGGUGGCUUGUGGAAGCGCCGUCGCUCAACGGAUAAAAGGUACCCCGGGGAUAACAGGCUGAUCUUGCCCAAGAGUCCAUAUCGACGGCAUGGUUUGGCACCUCGAUGUCGGCUCGUCGCAUCCUGGGGCUGGAGUCGGUCCCAAGGGUUGGGCUGUUCGCCCAUUAAAGCGGUACGCGAGCUGGGUUUAGAACGUCGUGAGACAGUUCGGUCCCUAUCCGCUGCGCGCGCAGGAAACUUGAGGAGAGCUAUCCCUAGUACGAGAGGACCGGGAUGGACGAACCACUGGUGUGUCAGUUGUCCUGCCAAGGGCACCGCUGAUUAGCUACGUUCGGACGUGAUAACCGCUGAAAGCAUCUAAGCGGGAAGCACACUCCAAGAUGAGGUUUCCGCAUCCCUUCGGGGGUGGAAGGCUCCCAGCUAGACUACUGGGUUGAUAGGCCGGACGUGGAAGCACAGCAAUGUGUGGAGCUGACCGGUACUAAUAAGCCGACAACUUAAAACAA